CAAGCCUGGGCUUCUGCUCACGGGCCACGCCCACUGACCACAGGAAGGGGCCUCCCUUCUUAAAGCAGGGAGAAUAUCUGAGGCUAGUCCUGCAUCCUGGCCAGGAAUCCCAGGCCAACACCCUCCCCGCAAUCUUAGGCGCGUAGCAGCCCUGGCUGGUGACCCCUGGGUGGAGAGAGUACGGUAGUUUGCAAGAAAUCCAAGAAAGGCCUGGAGCUGCCUUCGUGUUCCGGAAGAAUUCACGUGCUAAUUUGUAGGCGGCCUGGCCAGAUGCUUCAGAGACUCCGGCAGCAUCGAAGGUGUGAUUUUAGAUCAGUGCUCCCGAGACCCUUGUGUUAUUUAAGAAGGGUAUGAUACAAUCAUUAUUGCUGGAGGAAAAAUUACCAGCAAAGAGCCAGUCCUGCCGGCGAUAGGUGGGUGGGUGCUGCUCGGAGGACUCUGGGUUCCACAGGAGGUACGUAGCUCACGGAAAAGGGAGUAACGGGACCGCAACGCCAGCUCCCCACUCCUGCCACGAUCGGGCUCCAGCUUUCCGGCC
rnacentral:lncRNA from 1 species